rnacentral:lncRNA from 1 species
AUGGGUUCCCCAGCCGUGUUGGAGCCGGUGAAGACGCCGCCUCCUCCUGCAACUGAUGGCCCCAUCAGUGACCUUAUGCAGCGGCAGUAUAAGGAGGACGCCGACGCCACCCAUGGCACACUUGUCGGCGACGACGCGGACGAGGCGCGCCGCCUCUUCCUCGCGGACGUGGUGGAGCGACUAGACGCGGUGUGCGCUGAAGAGCUCGAGCACGCAGAUCCUUCGGAGCAGAGAUUGGGAAGACUGGACUCUGCUCGCGGUUGCCAAUGGCAUCACCGCCCGCCGACGCCACCACCCCAUAACCAGCCGUGGGCGGCGCAGUUCAUUGGCACCAUGGGGGAGCUUGCCUGCGGCAUCGGCACCAUCAAGGUGGAGUCGGUGUGGCAUCGCGUCCCUACCAAUAUGGCGUCCUCGCGGAUCCCGCCGUCCCCGCUAGUUCUGGCUGAUGGUGGUGCUGCUGCUCCAAUGCUCCAUACCGUUUGCCUGCAGGUCAAGAGGCUCGAAGCGAGGAUCCACGAGGUGUGCGCGGCCGCCGCCGUCGCGGCGCCGCCGUUCAGCCCCGCUCACUGCCUGGCCGUCUACUCCCUACCCGUCGGCCCGGCAAAGGACCUCGGAUGACCGAUUUUGU